AAUACAUCAAGUUGUUAUAAAUAACUGUUUCUAAGGCAAUAUUUAUUGAAUUUCAACUGUCAUAUUUGGUUCAAAAUUUUCAGUGUAAAAAAUCUAUCUAAAAUCAUAAAAAUGGGUUGUUUAUCGUCUCCCAAUUGUAAGCAACCAUUUUAUUUACCUUGCCCUCCUCCAUGUCCUAGUAUUUACGUACCUUUAUUAUAUCCAAUACCUCCAGCGUGUCCUCCUCCUGAUCCGAACUGCUGUCGUGCUUGCGGACCAGCGUGUCCUCCUAACAGAUCGUGUUGACCAAAAAGGAGUAAUCGAGGUUAAUAGUGGAAAUGUAUGAUACUGUUUUUAAGUAAAAAAGUUGUACGUAUUAUAAUAAAAAUUUUAAAUUAAA